rnacentral:rRNA from 1 species
UACGGAGGGUGCAAGCGUUAUCCGGAUUCACUGGGUUUAAAGGGUGCGUAGGUGGGUCUGAAAGUCAAUGGUGAAAUCUCCGGGCUCAACCCGGAAACUGCCAUUGAUACUACAGGUCUUGAAUUUUCUGGAGGAUAGCGGAAUAUGUCAUGUAGCGGUGAAAUGCUUAGAUAUGACAUAGAACACCAAUUGCGAAGGCAGCUAUCUACAGGGAUAUUGACACUGAGGCACGAAAGCGUGGGGAUCAAACAGG